GGCACAAUCCCAAGCAGAACACUUACACCAGCGUGUAUGAAACCCCAGUGAAUAUCCAUGUGAAGAAACAGUCGGGGGCAGUCAGUGAGAUCAAAUACAAAGAGGAAGGCGACAGAUUCAAGUCAGUGUUUCACUGGGAUUUGAAGUCUAAAGAACCCCAGCACCACAAUGAAGAGGAAAAGCUGAUCAGUCAGAGCACAGAGCAAUCUGAGCAGCAGACGAGGAAAGGCAGUUUCCCUGCCACAAUCACAGCCGCCUAUGAGACAGCCAGGGAG